rnacentral:rRNA from 1 species
ACGGGUGAGUAACGCGUGGGAAUCUACCCAUCCCUACGGAAUAACGCAUGGAAACGUGUGCUAAUACCGUAUACGCCCUACGGGGGAAAGAUUUAUCGGGGAUGGAUGAGCCCGCGUUGGAUUAGCUAGUUGGUGGGGUAAAGGCCUACCAAGGCGACGAUCCAUAGCUGGUCUGAGAGGAUGAUCAGCCACAUUGGGACUGAGACACGGCCCAAACUCCUACGGGAGGCAGCAGUGGGGAAUAUUGGACAAUGGGCGCAAGCCUGAUCCAGCCAUGCCGCGUGAGUGAUGAAGGCCUUAGGGUUGUAAAGCUCUUUCACCGGAGAAGAUAAUGACGGUAUCCGGAGAAGAAGCCCCGGCUAACUUCGUGCCAGCAGCCGCGGUAAUACGAAGGGGGCUAGCGUUGUUCGGAAUUACUGGGCGUAAAGCGCACGUAGGCGGACUUUUAAGUCAGGG